rnacentral:lncRNA from 1 species
GUGCACACACCAUUGUGCAUGUGUGCUGCUGUGUCUGUGGGCACACACCAUUGUACAUGUGUGCUGGUGUGUCUGCAUGCACCAUUGUGCAUGUGUGCUGGUGUGUCUGCAUGCACCAUUGUGCAUGUGUGCUGGUGUGUCUGCACGCACCAUUGUGCGUGUGUGCUGGUGUGUCUGCACGCACCAUUGUGUGUGUGUGCUGGUGUGUCUGCACGCACCAUUGUGUGUGCGUGCUGCUGUGUCUGUGGGCACGCACCAUUGUGUGUGUGUGCUGGUGUGUCUGCAUGCACCAUUGUGUGUGCGUGCUGCUGUGUCUGUGGGUGUGCACCAUUGUGCGUGUGUGCUGGUGUGUCUGCAUGCACCAUUGUGUGUGCAUGCUGCUGUGUCUGUGGGCACGCACCAUUGUGCGUGUGUGCUGGUGUGUCUGCAUGCACCAUUGUGUGUGCGUGCUGCUGUGUCUGUGGGUGUGCACCAUUGUGCGUGUGUGCUGGUGUGUCUGCAUGCACCAUUGUGUGUGCAUGCUGCUGUGUCUGUGGGCACGCACCAUUGUGCAUGUGUGCUGGUGUGUCUGCACGCACCAUUGUGCGUGUGUGCUGGUGUGUCUGCACACACCAUUGUGUGUGUGUGCUGGUGUGUCUGCAUGCACCAUUGUGUGUGCAUGCUGCUGUGUCUGUGGGCACGCACCAUUGUGCGUGUGUGCUGGUGUGUCUGCAUGCACCAUGUGCGUGUGUGCUGCUGUGUCUGUGGGUGUGCACCAUUGUGCGUGUGUGCUGGUGUGUCUGCAUGCACUAUUGUGUGUGCAUGCUGCUGUGUCUGUGGGCACGCACCAUUGUGCGUGUGUGCUGGUGCCACUGUCUGUGUGUGCAUGUCACUGUGCCCAUGUGUUGCUAUCUGCACAUCCCCUGGUGCUGCCACCUCCAACAGCUGCAGGGCCAGCCGGGAACAGCCCCCAUGCCCCCUCCCUGCUGUCUUUUAUCAUCAUUUGCCACGAAAGGGAGCCCAGGAGGACGGUGAUAAAUAAGGGCCACUUAAAAUAUGAGACGACCACUCUGACUUUGGGGAAUAUUUCUUCUGUGGAGCAGCUGGUGCCGCCUCUGUCCUUGUGGAAAGGGGUCCCAGGGGCGGCAGCCCCUGCCUGGCUUCCUCAAGCUCCCUCCUCUCUACUCCCUCCCCCGCCCCUGCCCUCCCAGCUCUGGUCUUGGAGGGUUUGGGAGGCCUGGGAAGGGGAGUGGAGGGGACACACCCCAAGGCCAGUGCCAUCAAGUCAGGAUGGCCCUCAGCUUGCCCUUCCUCGAUGCUCUGUGGAAGACGGAGUGUCAGCUGAGAGGCGGUGGGGAGUACGCGGCCUCCAUCUUGUGGGGUUCCCCUUCUAACUCCCUUUCCUUUCUACACUCAAGUGAGGGGACAAUUGAGGGGCUCCAGAGAGCUGAGACACAUGGAGAAACACAUGUGGACACAUACCCAGUCACAUAAUUUUCAGCAGCUACUAUGUGCCAAGCCCGAAGAGAAAGACACAAUAGACACAUAUCCUGUGCAGAGAGAACCAUGAACACACACACAAUACUUGCUAACAAUAAAGACACAA